rnacentral:lncRNA from 1 species
GGGUAUUAAGGCCAAUAGUGUGAUCGAUAUCUCUGACUUUAAGGGAUCUUUAAGUUAGCUUGAUAACACUGAAAGAAGAGGGAAAGGAAAGAGGGUAAGCAUAAAGCUUAGUAAGUUGCAUAUAAAUAAAUAUACAACAACAAUCUCACCAUUAGUCAUCAUACUUAUAGCUCAAAGGUGAACAUAAUUUAACUUACUCAUUAUCAUCAACUAGAGUCAUAUUUUCUAAAUUAAGCUCGUUACUCAUGCUUACCAUGAUUAUCAAAAUUGAUCUAUAACUCUCAUCAUUGAAAUGUUUGGAAUACUACUGGAUAUUCUAUGAACCUUCAACAUGGGAUAUAGUGUCGAUGCUAUGUCCCAGACAUGGUCUUACACUGGCUCUCAU